AGCUUUCUGAAUCCGUGUCGAGAUUUCGUCGGACACCAGACCAUCAGGACUGAUAAGACCCACAAGAUAAGUAAAGCA
rfam:Schistosoma margrebowiei strain Zambia genome assembly, scaffold: SMRZ_scaffold0002533